UAGUGGCGAACGGGUGAGUAACACGUGAGUAACCUGCCCUUAACUCUGGGAUAAGCCUGGGAAACUGGGUCUAAUACUGGAUAUUGACUUUUCACCGCAUGGUGGUUUGUUGAAAGAUUUAUUGGUUUUGGAUGGACUCGCGGCCUAUCAGCUUGUUGGUGAGGUAAUGGCUUACCAAGGCGACGACGGGUAGCCGGCCUGAGAGGGUGACCGGCCACACUGGGACUGAGACACGGCCCAGACUCCUACGGGAGGCAGCAGUGGGGAAUAUUGCACAAUGGGCGAAAGCCUGAUGCAGCGACGCCGCGUGAGGGAUGACGGCCUUCGGGUUGUAAACCUCUUUCAGUAGGGAACAAGGCCAUCACUUGUGGUGGUUGAGGGUACUUGCAGAAGAAGCGCCGGCUAACUACGUGCCAGCAGCCGCGGUAAUACGUAGGGCGCAAGCGUUAUCCGGAAUUAUUGGGCGUAAAGAGCUCGUAGGCGGUUUGUCGCGUCUGCCGUGAAAGUCCGGGGCUCAACUCCGGAUCUGCGGUGGGUACGGGCAGACUAGAGUGAUGUAGGGGAGACUGGAAUUCCUGGUGUACCGGUGAAA
rnacentral:rRNA from 1 species